ACCUGACUGCUAUCGGAUUGAUACUAAGCCAUGCGAGUCAUUGUAGCAAUACAAGGCAUACGGCUCAGUAACGCGUAGUCAACCUAACCUAUGGACGGGAAUAACCUCGGGAAACUGAGAAUAAUGCCCGAUAGAACAUUAUGCCUGGAAUGGUUUAUGUUCCAAAUGAUUUAUCGCCGUAGGAUGGGACUGCGGCCUAUCAGUUUGUUGGUGAGGUAAUGGCCCACCAAGACUAUUACAGGUACGGGCUCUGAGAGGAGUAGCCCGGAGAUGGGUACUGAGACACGGACCCAGGCCCUAUGGGGCGCAGCAGGCGAGAAAACUUUGCAAUGUGCGAAAGCACGACAAGGUUAAUCCGAGUGAUUUCUGCUAAAGAGAUCUUUUGUUAGUCCUAGAAACACUAACGAAUAAGGGGUGGGCAAGUUCUGGUGUCAGCCGCCGCGGUAAAACCAGCACCUCAAGUGGUCAGGAUGAUUAUUGGGCCUAAAGCAUCCGUAGCCGGCUCUGUAAGUUUUCGGUUAAAUCUGUACGCUCAACGUACAGGCUGCCGGGAAUACUGCAGAACUAGGGAGUGGGAGAGGUAGACGGUACUCGGUAGGAAGUGGUAAAAUGCUUUGAUCUAUCGAUGACCACCUGUGGCGAAGGCGGUCUACCAGAACACGUCCGACGGUGAGGGAUGAAAGCUGGGGGAGCAAACCGGAUUAGAUACCCGGGUAGUCCCAGCUGUAAACUAUGCAAACUCAGUGAUGCAUUGGCUUGUGGCCAAUGCAGUGCUGCAGGGAAGCCGUUAAGUUUGCCGCCUGGGAAGUACGUACGCAAGUAUGAAACUUAAAGGAAUUGGCGGGGGAGCACCACAAGGGGUGAAGCCUGCGGUUC
rnacentral:rRNA from 1 species